UACGGAGGGUGCAAGCGUUAUCCGGAUUUAUUGGGUUUAAAGGGUCCGUAGGCGGACUGGUAAGUCAGUGGUGAAAUCUCAUAGCUUAACUAUGAAACUGCCAUUGAUACUGUUAGUCUUGAGUAUAGUUGAGGUAGCUGGAAUAAGUAGUGUGGCGGUGAAGUGCAUAGAUAUUACUUAGAACACCAAUUGCGAAGGCAGGUUACCAAGUUAUAACUGACGCUGAGGGACGAAAGCGUGGGGAGCGAACAGG
rnacentral:rRNA from 1 species